rnacentral:misc_RNA from 1 species
UCUCCGUUGGUGAACCAGCGGAGGGAUCAUUACUGGAAUCGCAAGAUCCCACAACCCUGUGAACCUACCGAAACGUUGCCUCGGCGGGUGCCUUGCCUCUUCGCCGGUCGCUGCGCCCGCCGGCGGCCCCCUACUCUGGCUCUGCAGCGUGGCAUCUAAGAGUCCCAGAAAACAAGUCAAAACUUUCAACAACGGAUCUCUUGGCUCUA